rnacentral:rRNA from 1 species
CACGUAGGGUGCGAGCGUUGUCCGGAAUUAUUGGGCGUAAAGAGCUCGUAGGCGGUGUGUCGCGUCGGCCGUGAAAACCUGCAGCUUAACUGUGGGCUUGCGGUCGAUACGGGCAUCACUGGAGUUCGGCAGGGGAGACUGGAAUUCCUGGUGUAGCGGUGAAAUGCGCAGAUAUCAGGAGGGAACACCGGCGGGCGAAGGCGGGUCUCUGGGCCGAUACUGACGC